rnacentral:rRNA from 1 species
UCUACGGGAGGCAGCAGUGAGGAAUAUUGGUCAAUGGGAGCGAGCCUGAACCAGCCAAGCCGCGUGAGGGAAGACGGUCCUAUGGGUUGUAAACCUCUUUUGUCGGGGAACAAAACCCGCCCCGUGUAGCGUUCCGAGAGUACCCGAAGAAAAAGCAUCGGCUAACUCCGUGCCAGCAGCCGCGGUAAUCCGGAGGAUGCGAGCGUUAUCCGGAUUUAUUGGGUUUAAAGGGUGCGUAGGCGGUAGCUCAAGUCAGCGGUAAAAUUGAGGGGCUCAACCUCGUCGCGCCGUUGAAACUGGGUUACUUGAGUGGGCGAGAAGUAUGCGGAAUGCGGGGUGUAGCGGUGAAAUGCAUAGAUAUCGCGCAGAACUCCGAUUGCGAAGGCAGCAUACCGGCGCUAAACUGACGCUGAUGCACGAAAGUGUGGGUAUCGAACAGGAUUAGAUACCCGUGUAGUC